GCUCAGAAUGAACGCUGGCGGCAUGCCUAACACAUGCAAGUCGAACGAAGGCUUCGGCCUUAGUGGCGCACGGGUGCGUAACGCGUGGGAAUCUGCCCCUUGGUUCGGAAUAACAGUUGGAAACGACUGCUAAUACCGGAUGAUGACGUAAGUCCAAAGAUUUAUCGCCGAGGGAUGAGCCCGCGUAGGAUUAGGUAGUUGGUGUGGUAAAGGCGCACCAAGCCGACGAUCCUUAGCUGGUCUGAGAGGAUGAUCAGCCACACUGGGACUGAGACACGGCCCAGACUCCUACGGGAGGCAGCAGUGGGGAAUAUUGGACAAUGGGCGAAAGCCUGAUCCAGCAAUGCCGCGUGAGUGAUGAAGGCCUUAGGGUUGUAAAGCUCUUUUACCCGGGAUGAUAAUGACAG
rnacentral:rRNA from 1 species